UACGUAGGGGGCGAGCGUUGUCCGGAUUUCUUGGGCGUAAAGAGCUCGUCGGCGGUUUGGCAAGUCGGGUGUGAAAACUCCGGGCUCAACUCGGAGACGCCACUCGAUACUGCUAUGACUCGAGUCCGGUAGGGGAGUGCGGAAUUCCUGGUGUAGCGGUGAAAUGCGCAGAUAUCAGGAGGAACACCGGUGGCGAAGGCGGCACUCUGGGCCGGUACUGACGCUGAGGAGCGAAAGCGUGGGGAGCGAACAGG
rnacentral:rRNA from 1 species